rnacentral:sRNA from 1 species
AGCGCGGAACCGCCGCCUCGGCCAUGCGGCUCCCGGCCGGGGGGCCUGGGCUGGGGCCCGCGCCGCCCCCCGCGCUCCGCCCCCGCUGAGCCUGCGCCCGGCCCGGGGCGCCUCCCGCCCGGCACCAUGGUGCAGAAGUCGCGCAACGGCGGCGUGUACCCCGGCCCGAGCGGGGAGAAGAAGCUGAAGGUGGGCUUCGUGGGGCUGGACCCCGGCGCGCCCGACUCCACCCGGGACGGGGCGCUGCUGAUCGCCGGCUCCGAGGCCCCCAAGCGCGGCAGCAUUCUCAGCAAACCUCGCGCGGGCGGCGCGGGCGCCGGCAAGCCCCCCAAGCGGAACGCCUUCUACCGCAAGCUGCAGAAUUUCCUCUACAACGUGCUGGAGCGGCCGCGCGGCUGGGCGUUCAUCUACCACGCCUACGUGUUCCUCCUGGUUUUCUCCUGCCUCGUGCUGUCUGUGUUUUCCACCAUCAAGGAGUAUGAGAAGAGCUCGGAGGGGGCCCUUUACAUCCUGGAAAUCGUGACUAUCGUGGUAUUUGGCGUGGAGUACUUCGUGCGGAUCUGGGCCGCAGGCUGCUGCUGCCGGUACCGUGGCUGGAGGGGGCGGCUCAAGUUUGCCCGGAAGCCGUUCUGUGUGAUUGACAUCAUGGUGCUCAUCGCCUCCAUUGCGGUGCUGGCCGCCGGCUCCCAGGGCAAUGUCUUUGCCACAUCUGCGCUCCGGAGCCUGCGCUUCCUGCAGAUUCUGCGGAUGAUCCGCAUGGACCGGCGGGGAGGCACCUGGAAGCUGCUGGGCUCUGUGGUCUAUGCCCACAGCAAGGAGCUGGUCACUGCCUGGUACAUCGGCUUCCUGUGUCUCAUCCUGGCCUCGUUCCUGGUGUACUUGGCAGAGAAGGGAGAGAACGACCACUUUGACACCUACGCGGAUGCACUCUGGUGGGGCCUGAUCACGCUGACCACCAUUGGCUACGGGGACAAGUACCCCCAGACCUGGAACGGCAGGCUCCUGGCGGCGACCUUCACCCUCAUCGGCGUCUCCUUCUUUGCGCUGCCUGCAGGCAUCUUGGGGUCUGGCUUUGCCCUGAAGGUUCAGGAGCAGCACAGGCAGAAGCACUUUGAGAAGAGGCGGAAUCCGGCAGCAGGCCUGAUCCAGUCGGCCUGGAGAUUCUACGCCACCAACCUCUCGCGCACAGACCUGCACUCCACGUGGCAGUACUACGAGCGCACGGUCACCGUGCCCAUGUACAGUUCGCAAACUCAAACCUACGGGGCCUCCAGACUCAUCCCCCCGCUGAACCAGCUGGAACUGCUGAGGAACCUCAAGAGUAAAUCUGGACUCGCUUUCAGGAAGGAUCCCCCGCCGGAGCCAUCUCCAAGGUCAGUGCCCCCUGCUGCUACCCUGGUGUCUGCCGUGUGCACGGCCAUCUGGUCUCUCUGCCACACGUGUGCGCAACCUGUCAUGGAGAUGUGAGGGCCUUGUGUGUGCUUCCGUGUGUGACUGUGUGACUGUGUGACUGCGUGUCCAGACCCCCGCCUGGCGGUGAUGUGGGCCCUUAAAUCACUCUUCCUGCUCACCCCCUCCCCAGUGAUUCGGUUUUACUUUGCAGCACUGUGGAUCCGGGCAGCUG